AAUCGAACCCGGAGAUAGCUGGUUCUCCUCGAAAUAGCUUUAGGGCUAGCCUCGAUACAGAUUUGCGGAGGUAGAGCACUGAAUUUCCUAGGGGGCGUCAAAGCCUACCGAAGAAUAUCAAACUCCGAAUGCCGCGUAAUCGAUUAUCGGGAGUCAGACUGCACGAGAUAAGUUGGGCGGUCAAAAGGGAAAGAGCCCAGACCUUCAGUUAAGGUCCCCAAGUGCGCGUUAAGUGGAAAAGGAUGUGGGAUUUCGAAGACAACCAGGAUGUUGGCUCAGAAGCAGCCAUCCAUUCAAAGAGUGCGUAAUAGCUCACUGGUCGAGAGGUCCUGCGCCGAAAAUGUCCGGGGCUGAAACGCGCCACCGAAACUAAGGAACCGAAAGGUUGGUAGAGGAGCAUUGCAUGCGGGAAGAAGCAGUACCGUAAGGAGCUGUGGACUGCAUGGAAGAGAGAAUGCCGGAAUGAGUAGCGAGAUAGAGGUGGGAAUCCUCUAGGCCGAAUAUCCAAGGUUUCCAGAGUAAAGCUGAUCUGCUCUGGGUAAGUCGGGGCCUAAGGCGAGGACGAGAGUCGUAGCCGAUGGACAACAGGUGGAGAUUCCUGUACUGCGGUAUGACAGAACUGUGGGGACACGUAAGGAAAGCGGAAGCCGGGAAUGGAAAGCCCGGUGCAAGCGGGGUACCAGUCACUUUGGCAAAUCCGGGUGGCAAUGGGAAGCCGUGAUGCGGAGCGAAAUAAAGUAGCGAAGUCCGUGAGCCAUGCGUCAAGAAAAGCCGCUAUUGUUUAUACCGUACCCGUACCGUAAACCGACACAGGUGGAUGAGGAGAGAAUCCUAAGGCCGGCGGAAGAAGCAUUGUCAAGGAACUCGGCAAAAUGGCCCCGUAACUUAGGGAUAAGGGGUGCCUGGGAAACCAGGCCGCAGAGAAUAGGCUCAAGCAACUGUUUAGCAAAAACACAGGUCUAUGCGAAACCGAAAGGUGAGGUAUAUGGGCUGACGCCUGCCCGGUGCUGGAAGGUUAAGAGGAGAGGUUAGCGCAAGCGAAGCUUUGAAUUUAAGCCCCAGUAAACGGCGGCCGUAACUAUAACGGUCCUAAGGUAGCGAAAUUCCUUGUCGGGUAAGUUCCGACCCGCACGAAAGGCGUAAUGAUUUGAGCGCUGUCUCGACAAUGCAUCCGGUGAAAUUGAAGUACCAGUGAAGAUGCUGGUUACCUGCGCCAGGACGGAAAGACCCCAUGGAGCUUUACUCCAGUCUGGUACUGGGACUCGGUAUUGCAUGUACAGGAUAGGUGGGAGGCUAGGAGAUGGUAACGCCAGUUGCCAUGGAGCCGCUGUUGGGAUACCACCCUUGCAGUAUUGGGUUUCUAACCAGCCGCCGUGACCCGGCGGUGGGACAAUGCCAGACGGGGAGUUUGACUGGGGCGGUCGCCUCCGAAAGGGUAUCGGAGGCGCCCAAAGGUUCCCUCAGAAUGGACGGAAACCAUUCGAAGAGUGCAAAGGCAGAAGGGAGCUUGACUGCGACACCGACGGGUGGAGCAGGUACGAAAGUAGGACUUAGUGAUCCGGUGGUAUAAAGUGGGAUUGCCAUCGCUCAACGGAUAAAAGCUACCCUGGGGAUAACAGGCUUAUCACUCCCAAGAGUUCACAUCGACGGAGUGGUUUGGCACCUCGAUGUCGGCUCAUCGCAUCCUGGGGCUGUAGUAGGUCCCAAGGGUUGGGCUGUUCGCCCAUUAAAGCGGUACGCGAGCUGGGUUCAGAACGUCGUGAGACAGUUCGGUCCCUAUCCGGCGUGGGCGUAGGAUAUCUGAGAGGAGCUGUCCUUAGUACGAGAGGACCGGGAUGGACGGGCCGCUGGUGCAUCGGUUAGACUGCCAAGUCUACGGCCGAGUAGCCAAGCCCGGAAGGGAUAAACGCUGAAGGCAUCUAAGCGUGAAGCCCCCCUUAAGAUGAGAUAUCCCAUUCGAAAGAAGUAAACCCCCUUGA
rnacentral:rRNA from 1 species